GUUUAAAUAGUUUAAUUAAAAAUGCUGGUUUGUGAUGCCGGAGAUAUAGGACGAGUUAUUUUAAACC
rnacentral:tRNA from 1 species